rnacentral:rRNA from 1 species
AGUGAACGCUGGCGGUAGGCCUAACACAUGCAAGUCGAACGGCAGCACAGUAAGAGCUUGCUCUUACGGGUGGCGAGUGGCGGACGGGUGAGGAAUACAUCGGAAUCUACUUUUUCGUGGGGGAUAACGUAGGGAAACUUACGCUAAUACCGCAUACGACCUACGGGUGAAAGCAGGGGAUCUUCGGACCUUGCGCGAUUGAAUGAGCCGAUGUCGGAUUAGCUAGUUGGCGGGGUAAAGGCCCACCAAGGCGACGAUCCGUAGCUGGUCUGAGAGGAUGAUAAGCCACACUGGAACUGGACCACGGUCCAGGCUACUAAGGGAGGCAGCAGUGGGGAAUAUUGGACAAUGGGGGGAAGCCUGGUCCAGCCAUACCGAGUGGGAUAAGAAGGCCUUCGGGUUGUAAAGCCCUUUUUUUGGGAAAGAAAAGCAGCAGGUUAAUACCCCGCUGUUCUGACGGUACCCAAAGAAUAAGCACCGGCUAACUUCGUG